GGCCCGGCGAGAGGAGGUGGAGGUCUGAGGAGGAGCAUUGACAGAUGCUAUCUCGGAGCGGUCACCGCCGUGGGUAAACCCGGGACAGCUUUGGGGAGACGCAGAGGGCUAUUAUCCACGGCUUUGCACUCCCCCUGCACGAUCCCUUCCGCUCGAGGACCUCGCGAUUCUGCUCCCACGGCCGGCCGGCCGCCUGCCCGCACACUCGUUCCGGUCCGGGGCCCGGCGUCCAGCUCUGCUGCCCAGCGCGCUCGGUCAAGAAUCCUGGGGAACCCGCUCCGCCCCCUGGCUCCCGUACCCUCCAAUGAUCUCGGCCUGUUCCGUCCAAUCAGGUGUCGGAAAAGCCGGCCAGUCCCCGAGACUGUAGCCAAUAGAACACGACUCCGGCAACACACCCGCCCUGAUCCACUAGGGACAAAUUACUCUGUGCUGGGCAAUGGGACACUGAGCUAGGCACCCAGGUCAAGUCAUUUCCAGCAGGAAUUGUGUCACACAGAGAGUGUCCAGGGAGGCCCGGUGCUUAAAUUAGUGUGGUAUAAUCUUAGGUGUUGACAAAAAAUGGGAACGUUGAGUGCACUACUUCUAUAGAUUAUCCCAACCCACAUGAUGAAUUUAAAAGUCUUUUCUAGCCGAAGUUCUUACAUGAGAGAAAGCAACAAGAGCUUGUUUUAGCAUUGUUAUCUGUUCAAGUUAAGGCCAUUCCUUUCAGAACAAUGAGGUGUCUAACUUGAUGUAGUUCAGGUUGGUGGAUCUUCAGUACUGGGCAUUUAUUUGCAUUCCUUAUACGUUUACCCCAACAGCAGACAUCUGAACCAGAGGUAAAUGUAAAAUAUUUACAGAAAGUGAAAUUUGUACAAAUUUGAGAUGUCUCAAAGGAGUGGAAGAAAAGUUACUAUGAAGAUGAGGAAAAGAAGAAAAAGAAAUCUUUCUAAGCAUCUGAAGAAAAAGCUCAGCUGCUAAAGCAUAGGGUUUGCAUACCAGAGGCUCUCAUUGCAACCCCUGAUGAGCCAUGUUCAAGAGUGGUACUCUGAUUUCUCUCAUUCUGUUCUGUGUGAAA